AACGAACGCUGGCGGCAGGCUUGACACAUGCAAGUCGAACGGGUGUAGCAAUACAUCAGUGGCAGACGGGUGAGUAACACGUGGGAACCUUCCUAAGGGUACUGAACAACUCAGGGAAACUUGAGCUAAUACCGUAUACGUCCGUGAGGAGAAAGAUUUAUCGCCCUUAGACGGGCCCGCGUCGGAUUAGCUAGUUGGUGGGGUAACGGCCUACCAAGGCGAAGAUCCGUAGCUGAUCUUAGAGGAUGAUCAGCCACACUGGGACUGAGACACGGACCAGACUCCGACGGGAGGCAGCAGUGGGGAAUCUUGGACAAUGGGCGCAAGCCUGAUCCAGCCAUGCCGCGUGAGUGAAGAAGGUCUUCGGAUUGUAAAGCUCUUUUGCCAGGGACGAUAAUGACGGUACCUGGAGAAUAAGCCCCGGCAAACUUCGUGCCAGCCGCCGCAGUAA
rnacentral:rRNA from 1 species